AAGGAGUCGAGCAGUGGUGCGAGUCUACGGGCUUCAAGCCCCGAGGCGCAGUGAAAGCGACAGGGUGGAACUUCGGUGCACACCCGGCCGGGCCCGAUGCUUGCGGAAGGUUCUGAGCAAGAGCAUCACUGUUCGGACCCGAAAGAUGGCGAACUAUGGCUGAGCAGGGUGAAGGCAUCGGAAACGGUGCUGGAGGCCCGAAGAGGUUCUGACGUGCAAAUCGAUCUUCAAACCUGGCCAUGGGGGCGAAAGACUAAUCGAGCCAUCUAGUAGCUGGUUCCUGC
rnacentral:misc_RNA from 1 species